ACAUCCUACGGGAGGCAGCAGUGGGGAAUCUUGCACAAUGGGCGGAAGCCUGAUGCAGCGACGCCGCGUGAGGGAUGACGGCCUUCGGGUUGUAAACCUCUUUCGCUAGGGAAGAAGCCGCUUUGUGGUGGUGACGGUACCUGGAUAAGAAGCACCGGCUAACUACGUGCCAGCAGCCGCGGU
rnacentral:rRNA from 1 species